CAGUCGCCACGGUAAUACGGAGGAUCCAAGCGUUAUCCGGAAUCAUUGGGUUUAAAGGGUCCGUAGGCGGUUUAGUAAGUCAGUGGUGAAAGCCCAUCGCUCAAUGGUGGAACGGCCAUUGAUACUGCUGAACUUGAAUUAUUAGGAAGUAACUAGAAUAUGUAGUGUAGCGGUGAGAUGCUUAGAGAUUACAUGGAAUACCAAUUGCGAAGGCAGGUUACUACUAAUUGAUUGACGCUGAUGGACGAAAGCGUGGGGAGCGAACAGGAUUAGAGACCCCAGUAGUCCCUGUCUCUUAUAC
rnacentral:rRNA from 1 species